AACGUAGGAGACAAACGUUAUCCGGAGUUACUGGGCGUAAAGGGCGUGUAGGCGGUCUGUUAAGUCUGGCGUGAAAGCUCUCGGCUAAACCGGGAGAGGUCGUUGGAUACUGGCAGACUAGAGGACGGUAGAGGCGUGUGGAAUUCCGGGUGUAGUGGUGAAAUGCGUAGAUAUGCGGAGGAACACCGAUGGCGAAGGCAAUCCCCUGGGCCUGUACUGACGCUCAUGCACGAAAGCGUGGGGAGCAAACAGG
rnacentral:rRNA from 1 species